rnacentral:rRNA from 1 species
AGCGAACGCUGGCGGCAGGCCUAACACAUGCAAGUCGAACGAACCUUUCGGGGUUAGUGGCGGACGGGUGAGUAACACGUGGGAACGUGCCUUUAGGUUCGGAAUAACUCAGGGAAACUUGUGCUAAUACCGAAUGUGCCCUUCGGGGGAAAGAUUAAUCGCCUUUAGAGCGGCCCGCGUCUGAUUAGCUAGUUGGUUGAGGUAAUGGCUCACCAAGGCGACGUUCAGUAGCUGGUCUGAGAGGAUGAUCAGCCACAUUGGGACUGAGACACGGCCCAAACUCCUACGGGAGGCAGCAGUGGGGAAUCUUGCGCAAUGGGCGAAAGCCUGACGCAGCCAUGCCGCGUGAAUGAUGAAGGUCUUAGGAUUGUAAAAUUCUUUCACCGGGGACGAUAAUGACGGUACCCGGAGAAGAAGCCCCGGCUAACUUCGUG